UACGGAGGAUCCGAGCGUUAUCCGGAUUUAUUGGGUUUAAAGGGUGCGCAGGUUGUUUGAUAAGUCAGUGGUGAAAGUCUGUCGCUUAACGGUAGGAUUGCCAUUGAUACUGUUGGACUUGAAUAUGGAUGAGGUAGGCGGAAUGUGUAGUGUAGCGGUGAAAUGCAUAGAUAUUACACAGAACACCGAUUGCGAAGGCAGCUUACUAAUCCAUCAUUGACGCUGAGGCACGAAAGCGUGGGGAGGCAAACAGGA
rnacentral:rRNA from 1 species